UGCAGAGAAGCAAAACAUGAGAAUGUGUGUGUCUCGGAGAAGAGCAGAGAGGCCUAGAGAGAGAUAACCAGCUCUCACUGACCUUGCUGCAAGACAGUUGUUAGCUGAAGUAUGUUAACUGAAGUAUGAGAAUCACAACCACAGGCUGUUCUAAGAAACUGCACCCUCCCCCUGCUAUGUGCUUUGUAAACAUAU